UCCGCUGUGGCGUCUCAGGAGUCGAGCGCCGCAGGUCCCGCUCUCGCUAGUGUUUUCCUCCGCUUUUCCCGGGAUAUCAUAACAGUGAGAUCCCUCACAGUGAGGUCUCUUGUCUUCCUUAAGAGCUGGUGCCUGAAAGUCGACAUAAUAAGGUAUCUUCCUUCCUGAACAUCUUCAUGAUUAGGGAAAUUGAAGAGGAAAGGACUGUUUUAUUCAUUUAAGAACCUUUUUUGAUGUUCUUAUAAGACACACUUUAUUACAGCUGCAGUCUUGCCAACAUCAGAUAGGAGAAACUACUUUUCCUUUACUAUUACUGUUAGUAUUUUUGCCUGACAAGCAACAAUCUUAGUCUAUCACAGAAUGAGAUUUACCUUUUCUGUUCAAAACUACUUUUCAGUCCUUUAUAACCUCCAUAUUUUUCUGUGUAACACUGAUGUUUAGCCAUUUUUUCCUCAUUUUGUAGCUAUGUAUUAGAUUUUUCUUAGCAAGUACUUUAUUUAAUAUAAUCAUA